AUGAAGAAGAUCUUGUUCAGCAUGUUCUAUUUGAUACUGGUAGGAGAAGAACCCGACUCAGUAUUCUUAAAAAAAGAGGGGAAGCAGAACCAAGUCAAUAUGAUAUGGGUCGCCCCUUCUUCUUGCGCAAAGAUCUUACCAUUUCCGAAGGUUUGCCUUUCCAAAGAAAUGAGAUAA
rnacentral:rRNA from 1 species